GCAAAAUUCUGCAGAUCUUUUCUUUUCUCAUAGCCAACCCCAAAUCCAAUCCUACAUUGGUAGGCUCCGGACAUCCCCAAAGGCCCCUCUGCUUCUCUCUCCAUGUACCUAUCAACCCCUCCCCAUCCCCACUCGUUGACCACAGGUAAAGAGAGCUCGUUGCAGGAGCAAAGGAGCAGCCAUGGCCGAAGUCAUCGUCCAGAGGGCAUGCGCGAAGCUCAGAUCUGCCAUAGGAGAUGAAGCCGUUGUGCGUUCCAACUUCAUCGGUGACCUGCGUUAUAUGUUGGGGGCGCUGGAGUCCAUCCAACCGGUGCUGGAGAGAGCCGAGAUGGAGCCGUUCAGGAGUAUACCGGUGGCGCGUUGGCUGCAGCUUGCCUGCAGCGCGGCCUGCAAGACCAUAGACACUGUCAAUGAGCUGCACGACGCGAGACCACAGGCUGCUGCAACGGUAUCCCACUGCAACUGGCCGUUUAUUUUUUUUCUCCUUAUUCCGGCGAAGCAAAUACUACUAUCCAUCGCUUGCUUGCUGUCUUCACCGACGUGAGAUUGGUUAGAGUAUAAUUCAUUUAUCGAUAUUUUAGCUGUGGUAUUGUUAAAAUUUCCAAUAUUCUGAUUUCAUCACAGUUUGAUGUUUUAUGUAAGCAAGAUAGUGGUCCAUAUUUGCAGUUGACAAGGAUGCUGCCCCACCUUGCCAUCGUGAAGAAUGCCAUGGCCAUCGAGGUGCAGGAGACGAAAAAACUAGUGAUGCGGGCAGACGAGGAGAGGCCAAGUCGGUUUCCAAAUUAUUACACCGAAAUUACCGAGGAACCAAAAACUCGACCAGUUUCUGAGGAAGCAAUGAUUUUUGGAAGAGGAUCAGAUAAAGAGAGGAUAAUAGCCGCCCUGCUAUGUAGUACUGAGCCCAACAUCACGCAAGAGCACAUCACCAUUCUUCCCAUCUAUGGGCUUGAAGGCAGCGGCAAGACAACCUUGGCACAAAUGGUAUUUAACGGUACCCACUCCCUUCAAGGCUAUGACUUCCGGGUAUGGUUUCAUGUGUCUCCCCAGUUGGACUUCCAUGCACUAGGUAACUCCAUUAUUUGUCACGUGUUGGAAAGGCGACAAGAAGCUUCAGACAUGGAGGGGAUGGAGGGUAUAAUGAAGCGCCUUCACGAGCUACUUCAUCGUAAGAAGGUGCUCCUUGUGUUGGAUGACUUGUGGGAGGAGGAUCCCAUUCAGUUACAGUUAUUGAAGUCCAUGUUAACUUUCUUGGGAGACAAGAUGGACGUAAUAAUAACCACAUAUAUACAACCAUGCCAUCGCCAGGAAGAUCUGUACAGUUGAGCCAUACAGGCUAAAUCGGUUGGGUGAUGACACGUGUUUGGAAAUAAUCAAGAAAACAUUGUACUCCCUCCGUUCGGAAUUACUUGUCUUGGAAGUGGAUGUAUCUAGAACUAAAAUACGUCUAGAUAUAUCCAUUUCUGCGACAAGUAAUUCCGAACAGAGGGAGUAUCUCGAAGGAGAAGAAGAGUUGGAGAAGAUUGGUCGGGAGAUCGCAAUCAAGUGUUGGGGUGUACCAUCAGUAGCUCGAAGA
rnacentral:rRNA from 1 species